CGCGGUAUACGGAGGGUGCGAGCGUUGUCGGAUUUAUUGGGUUUAAAGGGUGCGUAGGCGGCCAUUUAAGUCAGCGGUGAAAGUCUGUGGCUCAACCAUGGAACUGCCGUUGAUACUGGGUGGCUUGAGUGUUGGUGGGGUACAUGGAAUUUAUGGUGUAGCGGUGAAAUGCAUAGAUACCAUAAGGAACACCGAUAGCGAAGGCAUUGUACUUACCAACAACUGACGCUGAGGCACGAAAGCGCGGGUAUCGAACAGGAUUAGAUACCCUGGUAGUCCGCGCCGUAAACGAUGAUCACUCGCUGUCAUGCCUAUAUGGUGUGGUGGCCAAGCGAAAGCGUUAAGGUGAUCCACAA
rnacentral:rRNA from 1 species